UACAGAGACUGCAAGCGUUAUUCGGAUUCACUGGGCGUAAAGGGUGCGCAGGCGGCCAAGUGUGUCAGGUGUGAAAUCUCGGGGCUUAACUCCGGAACUGCGCCUGAAACUACUUGGCUAGAGCAUUGGAGAGGGAAGUGGAAUUCACGGUGUAGCAGUGAAAUGCGUAGAUAUCGUGAGGAACACCAGAGGCGAAGGCGACUUCCUGGACAAUUGCUGACGCUCAGGCACGAAAGCGUGGGGAACCAAAGGG
rnacentral:rRNA from 1 species